GCCCACGUAGCUCAGUUGGUAGAGCACAUCCUUGGUAAGGAUGAGGUCAUGGAUUCGAGUUCCGUCGUGGGCU
rnacentral:tRNA from 1 species